GGGAUAAAGAAUGGGACCACAGAAGGGACUUGACCUGCCCAAGGCCACACAGCUGGCAUGUGCGAGUGGGGCCAGGGCUGUUUCCACCUUGGGGAGCAGAAGUGAUGAUGUCUGCAGAGGGCGCAUCAGCCCUGAAAGCUCUAACAGGAGCAGAAGAGGUCACGCGAUGGGAAGGAAACUCAGAACUCGAAACUAGAGAAAUGGAAACUGUCUGCUUGCAGAUGGCCAUCGCGUGCAGACUGAGCUUGGGAACAGCAACCACUCCUGGGAACAGGGCUCCUAGGGACUUUCCUGCCUGUGGUGUCCGCUGUGGAUGUGCCAGUCACGAACAUUCACACGCUUCAGGUCCCCCCUCACCUCCCUCCGGACUUAAGGAGCAAAGUUGAAAGCUGAUGGAAAAUCUCCAGGGAGGCUUUACAAAUACCAGAGAAUGCUAUUAUUUAAAUGUAUAUAUUUGCAUUUAGAAAUGUGUAGGAAUUCCUUGGCAGUCCAGUGGUUAGGAGUCGGCGCUUUCACUGCCAUGGCCCGGCUUCAGUCCCUGGUCAGGGAACUAAAGUCCCGCAAGCUGUGAGGCACGGCCAAAAAAAAAAAAAAAGUGUAUAGCAAAAGCAUUAGAAGUGUAAAUUUCCUUGCACUAACUAGUCUCAUUUUUAGACUUUUACUCUGAGAAAAUCAUAAAUAAACACAAAAUGCACAUAUAGGGGCUUCCCUGGUGGCGCAGUGGUUGAGAGUCCGCCUGCCGAUGCAGGGGACACGGGUUCGUGCCCCGGUCCGGGAAGAUCCCACAUGCCACGGGGCGGCUGGGCCCGUGAGCCAUGGCCGCUGAGCCUGCACGUCCGGAGCCUGCGCUCCGCAGCGGGAGAGGCCACAUUGAGAGGCCCGCGUGCCGCAAAAAACAAAAUAAUAAUAAUAAAUGCAUAUAUAGGAUGUUCAUUUCAGCUAUGCUUUUAAUAGCAAACCCUUGGUAACAACCUAAUGCCCAGUGACAGAGGACUGAGUGAGUAAACUGUGGUAUGUCUUUGUGAUGGAAUAAUUGACAGCCAAUGAAUAUAUUGAGCAUUUACCAUAUUCCAGACAUUGCAUGUGAAGAUUUAUAUAUGUUACUUUGUUUAGUCUUCAUGUAUGAGUGAGGCACUACUACAAUCUCCAUUUUACGGGUAAGGGAACAAAGACACAGAGAGCUUAAGUCUCUUGGUCCCAGACAUAUUAAGUGGUAAGAGCCAGGAUUUGAACCUAGGCCCGUCUGACAGCAAAGCCUGCACUUGCCACCGCUAAGCUACAGUGACCAAGGCCACCAUAUAUGGCCACGCAGGUUGCAUACUGCACAAAGUACCCAGUGGAGAAGCUUAAAGUCUAACUGGCUCAGCUCUCCAAGCCAAGAGCUUCAUCUGCCCAGAGGGGGCCACCUUUUCCAAUGCAUACCAAGCACUGUGUGGGCUCGUGGUGGUCUGGUAGAUGCCUCCUACCUGUCAUAGGCACAGUUUGUGCUCUUCUUGAUCGUGGUAUCCUCUUGGUCUCCGAUCAGCCAAAUGAACUUGGGGUCGGUCCUCAGGCGGAUGUUCUUCCAGGCCUUCUUGGGGACGUAGCUGCAGCCGGCAUUGAAGUCACCCAUGAAAAUGAAAUUCUGAAAGACAAGAUUCGAAACUGUCACCUGUAGGCAUUGUAGUCUAAUGCUUUCAGGCAAAACUGGUAGCAAUGACUCCACCUCGCACACCCAAUAAACGAUGAGUUCUAUUAUCA